rnacentral:lncRNA from 1 species
UUUGCAUAAAAGCGGUCGAAUGGUUGGUAUUCGAAACUCAAGUUCGAAUCCUAGUUGAUUCAUAUUUUUAACUAAAUUUAUUUCUAAAUGAAAUAAAUAAAGCGAAUAGUGUGCUAUCUAUUUCUAAAAAAAAAGUAUUUGCAUAAAAAAAAGCAUAAAUUUUGAAUUUUUACAAAAUUGGGAAGUUUUUUUUUUGCAUAUUCGGAUCGAAUUUUUAAAAAACUGACCAAAAUAUUUUUAUUUCUUUCUCUCUUUCUUUUUUUUUUCUCUUGUUCUUUUUUUUUCCUUUUACGAAGAGAGAAGUGGAGGCGGAGGCGGUCCACCUCCCCUCUGCCCCUGUCUGCGCACCACCCACCCUCCUCACCUCCAACCCCACCAAGGCUGUGCUCACCGCCGCCCUUUGGAACGCCCUUCCUCCCCUCUGCCCCAUGUGCCGUUGCCUACGCCCGCUCACCUACCGCCCUUUUCGUCUUUUAUCCCGCCGAGGCUGCGCUGCGAUUCUCUUAUUUUUUUUCUCUCCAAACCUUCUCCACUGUCUCCACGGCCAUUUGCGACCCACCUACACCUCCACCUCCAUUGCAACAAAUUUUUUACCCACCAAACCCACUUCUAGGGAACCCGCCAUCCUCACCACCGCUGAC